GUAAUAUACAGAUUUGAACUCGGAUAAUGACUAUGUGACAUCACUAAUGCAA
rnacentral:sRNA from 1 species